rnacentral:lncRNA from 1 species
AAGUGCUGUUAGCUUGCAUGCACCCAUUCAUAUAAUAGGGGAAAGUCCAGAUACAAAUUCAAUGGAAAAUGUGAGUAAGCAAAAUAUUUGUAAUGAGGUGGUUUUAGUAUUCGUGCCAAGACAAAUCAGAGAAGGGAAAAAACACACAUCUUGAGAAUAUUUCCUCUCAUGACAAAGAUGUGACCAUAUAAGCACAUGGUUUGAAACAGGAACAGCACAUCUGAACAAGCAGUGAAUACCCUGCACCUUCACCCACCAUUAGAGUUCAGGAGGUACCAGUACAGCAAGUUUUUUCCUAUAUUUAUCCCCAGAAAUCUGUCCAGAUACAACCAUAGGUUAUUUGUCCCAUUUUCUUUUUUCAUUCUUCCUGACCUGAAGCGGCUGUUCUUUCGAGUUUGUGAAGCAAGGUUGCAAGAACCUUUACCUGGACAUACCUAAAUGUGGAAAAUGAAGAUUCAAGCUCCUGAUCCGCUGAGCACCCCGCACAGCCCCCGGCUUGCUGUUGACGUCACCUGUGCUCAGAUCACACCUGGGACGCUCUUACCGACCCCUUUCAAGAUUUCUGGGGAGAGAUGAAAACACAUUUGUCCCUUGAGUGAAACAGGAAGUUCAGCAAGUCAAAACAUUGCCUCUACGGAUCUGGUUGGGGUUAUCCAUUUGACAGAAGUGCAUGUUUUUACCUGUAUCAACAUUAAGGCAGGCAGGAGGUCUGAUGCAUCCAACCACAGUGUUGUGAUAAAGGAAGGAAAGCGGAACUUGCCAGCAGCAUACCUCAGCCAGGAGAUGAAACAGUGAACAGCCGCACACAGGAGCAGGUAUGCUAGCUAGGGCUGUGCAACAUUUAACGCUUUCAGGGUAGAAGCAGAAAGAUAUGUUUUCAAUGGCAGGGAAAUAAUGGCAGGACUAAAGAACAAAAUGGCUGACCAUGUUGGGAGCUGUCUUCAAGUUUGCUGAAGGUAAUUUUGCCUACCAAAACUCUCAUGGCUGGUUUUCAUUUCUUUCCCCUACCUAUUCUGCUGUUGACGCUUACUGACAGACUGGAGCAAAGUAUGGUACUAUGAAAUGUAAUUUAUUUUAAGACAGAAUAUUUAUCCAUGUAUGUAUAAAAAUGAACAAAGAAACCAAAUAUAAGCCUUGCAGUCCAUAGGGAUGUAACUUUGGGCUAGGACUGAGUAUUUUGGCAUAAACACUAAAAAUCUUUAAAAAAGUAAUAUCCUGUGGCUUUUGCACUUCCAUUAUAUUAAACUGAUUUUCUUUACUCACAGUGGGAUUUCAAAUUAAUUUGUAAUUAUACACACCGUGAGGGGAUGAGAAAGAAAUGACCUAAUUAUAGACCAAAAGGAUGCCCUACAGCUAUCAUCCAAUUACUCCAGCCAUCUGAGCUCUUAAGCAAAAUGAUGGGCUUAAUCCUCUCUUGGUCAUAUCUCGUUGUAAUUUGCCAUUGAAUACCAUAAUUUCACUUUAAAUAUUCAUUCACAUAAUAUAAAAAUCUUCGAAUGGAAACAUAUAAUGAGAAUGGGUCAUAAUCACAGUCCUUCUAGACUUUGGUCUCCCAUAUGCACUCUGUGACCAUGUGGUGAGGAAGGAAAUCAUUGCUUCUCUCCUAUGUCCCCUAAAUGGUACUAAUUAGCUAUAAUUAGGCAGAUAUAAAGCCUUAGAAAUAAUGGAAAACUCCAAAAUGCCCACUAACUCUUGGGCAUGUCAACUUUACCUUUCAGCAAGAGAUGAAGAGUUCAUAAAGAGGCACUUGGUAACCUCAGUUAACAUGUGAGUUAAGAAGCAGCUUUCUAAUGGAACAAAUCUUCACCUCUGCUCUUUGUGCAAUAUUCUGGAAUAAAAUUUUAGAAUAGAAUAGGAAAAAUAAUUAU